rnacentral:rRNA from 1 species
UACGUAGGGUGCGAGCGUUGUCCGGAAUUACUGGGCGUAAAGAGCUCGUAGGUGGUUUGUCGCGUUGUUCGUGAAAUCUCACGGCUUAACUGUGAGCGUGCGGGCGAUACGGGCAGACUAGAGUACUGCAGGGGAGACUGGAAUUCCUGGUGUAGCGGUGAAAUGCGCAGAUAUCAGGAGGAACACCGAUGGCGAAGGCAGGUCCCUGGGCAUUAACUGACGCUGAGGAGCGAAAGCAUGGGGAGCGAACAGG